rnacentral:rRNA from 1 species
UACGGAGGGGGCUAGCGUUGUUCGGAUUCACUGGGCUUAAAGGGCGCGUAGGCGGUCGACCAAGUCUGGGGUGAAAUCUUUCGGCUUAACCGGAAAAGUGCCCCCGAUACUGGCCGGCUAGAGGGAGAUAGGGGCAUGUGGAACUUCCGGUGGAGCGGUGAAAUGCGUAGAUAUCGGAAGGAACGCCGGUGGCGAAAGCGACGUGCUGGAUCUCUUCUGACGCUGAGGCGCGAAAGCCAGGGGAGCAAACGGG